rnacentral:misc_RNA from 1 species
GGCAAGGUGCCUGGAUUUCGCCUCACCCGGGUGCCUAGGCGAGUGCCCAACCUCCUGGUGACAACACUGCUAACACAGUUAUCAAAGGCGCACCUAAGGCACAAGGCGCACCAAGCAAGUGACCCAAUGCCUCAAGAGCUCAAAAGUGAGCAACCUAUAGGAGGCACACCAAGGUUAGGCGCGCCCCAAGGAGCCCAGCCAUAAAAAAUCCAGAAAUUACUUUUUCUUUCCUUACCCACAUGCAAAC